CAGUCGCCGCGGUAAAACGAAGGGUGCAAGCGUUAAUCGGAAUUACUGGGCGUAAAGCGUGUGUAGGCGGUGAGUUAAGUCUGCUGUGAAAUCCCCGGGCUCAACCUGGGAAUGGCAGUGGAUACUGGCUCGCUAGAGUGUGUCAGAGGAUGGUGGAAUUCCCGGUGUAGCGGUGAAAUGCGUAGAGAUCGGGAGGAACAUCAGUGGCGAAGGCGGCCAUCUGGGACAACACUGACGCUGAGGCACGAAAGCGUGGGGAGCAAACAGGAUUAGAUACCCGCGUAGUCCCUGUCUCUUAUAC
rnacentral:rRNA from 1 species